GGUGGAUGGAUGGACAGAUGGAUGGACAGAUGGAUGUACGACGGACAGAAGGAUGGAUGGAUAAUACAGCUUCUAAGUCUUACCCGUCUACUUGUCCUUGUUGCAUGAUCAUCUUGUGGGACUCUUCUCUCCUGAUGCGACCAUGGAACCAUAGCUGUGUUCUGUGGAUCACUGAAAGACAUAGCAAGAUGAGCGGCGCUCACUGCUUCCAGAGGGUUCUCUAUGACGCGUCCCGUCCUGCCAGAGAAGUCCAUGGCCACCAGAGAGUUCUCAGACACACUCCGCUACAGAGAUGAGGAUAGAGAACUUGUCUGAGCCACGCUACCACGCUUUACAAGGGGAAUUUCCUGUUGAAGUAGAGGGAGAGAUCUGAUUGGCUGAGCUGUCUGGGGGCUCGACCAACGGAGUUCUGCGAUUGGCCAUUUGCUGCAUUGGCCUGAUACUGACACCCCGCCUCAGCACCCUUCCCCCUCUCCCUCUCUCUACUUUCUCCACCCUCCCUUUCACUGUUCUCUUCUCACAUUCCUUCUCCCAUACAGUUUUUCCAGAAACGACAAUCUACCAAGUAUAAAACAGUCAUCUAUCCCAGUAACAGUCAGUAGAAAUAGGUUGGUGGAAACUACUGUAUAGAGAAUAAGAGGGAAG
rnacentral:lncRNA from 1 species